rnacentral:rRNA from 1 species
AACGUAGGACACGAGCGUUAUCCGGAGUUACUGGGCGUAAAGGGCGUUUAGGCGGGUGACUAAGUUCGCUAUGAAAGCGCCGGGCUAAACCCGGCGAGGCUGGCGGAUACUGGUGAUCUGGAGUGAGGUAGAGGGAAGUAGAAUUCCGCGUGUAGUGGUGAAAUGCGUAGAGAUGCGGAGGAAUACCAGUGGCGAAGGCGACUUCCUGGACCUUAACUGACGCUGAGACGCGAAAGCGUGGGGAGCGAACAGG